CUUCCGGUACAGACAGUGAGCGAUGUCUUAGAAACAUAAACAUAAUUACUAAAUGCGGCAAAAUGGACAACCGUUGUUAUUGUUGUUCAUCAAAGUUCACUCUCUUCAGGAAGGAGGUCGCAGUUGUAAAUGAGAACUUGUUCUCAACUAGCCUACCUGGUUAAAUAAAGUUGGGCAGUAAGAACUGCGGUCAUUCCUCUUGCUCGGAUUGCCUGACUUUCAACGCAGUUUUGCCUAGCUUUGGUAACACCCAGCAGAAGGUCUGCAAGCAAUGUCAUGUGAAUCUCGCACGGUGGAGUUAUGAUGUAGCUUUGCACGAAAGCAACUCCAUGGAGGACUUCCAACACCUUGACAGCGAGGACAAGACUGAGGAAGAGGCCAUGACGAGGAUACUGAAAAAGACACCAGUUCUAGCGUGUUCAUCAUCGAGGACCCCAGCAGCUGCCCUGGCCAGUCAGGCUUCAGACAGUGAUGAGGAUGAGCUUCCCUGGUGCUGCAUCUGUAACCAGGACACCUCCAUCCUCUGUCACACCUGUGAUGGGGAUCUUUACUGCAACCGCUGCUUCAGGAGUGCCAUGAUAUGUAUGACAGGAAAGAGCACCGCACAGCUACAGUAGUUACACGGCAACUAAGAAAAACAAGAGGACGACGACGUGAGACUGCAGGGGCUGGCAUCAAUAUUUCUUGGAGUCACUCUAAAAGAUGUGUACUAUACCUUUUAAGAGGCUGGACAGUAUUCUUGGAAUUCUGCAGGAUUACAAAGAGAAGGCUUAUCCAAACACUACUACCUGUCUUUAGGGUUGCAAAAUUCCAGUAACUUUCCCAAAGUGCCCUGGUUUUCCAGAAAUCCUGGUUGGGAGAUUGCUGGAAUUAUGAGGGAAUAAGCAGUGGUGUAAAGUACUUUAGUUUAAAAAAAUAA